AAUUAACAAAAAAAACAAGAAAUAAUAGGAAUAAAUUGAAUUUUAAAAAUUACAUAAUUAAAUAAAUUGUUUUGUACUCAAUUCAACAUCAACUUAAUUUCAUAGGUAGCCCAAAUCGCGCAAUUAUGCUCCAUAUUACUUCUCAUCAUGUACUACUACUCUCACAGUAGUGAUAUUCGUGUUUCAGUUUAUACCCAAGGGUAUAAUUAGGGGCCUCGUUAAUCUGGAGAGGCAAAAACAAAUCCCUUAUAUUCUGUAUUUAAUGGUUCUAAAACACAUGUUGAAAUAAUCUCAUAUUUUAAUUUUCGCACUUCAUUUCAACAGCCUGGUCUCUAAGUCGACGAAGAAACAUAACUUCGUGGCAAUACAAUUUGUUGUGAUUAACCCAUUAUAAAGCAGUGUUUAAAGCUCCUACCGCCUCUGAAUUAACAACUUUUUCGGGGACUGGAACUUAAAUGCUAAUGUCCUCAUCAGUUAAGGUUCUCAGAACAUGCAAGUCAGUUAACCAGUUCGAGUUCGAAGUUUUUAUUGUUAAUUGUUACAAUAUUUUGAUUCUCAUCCCCAAGAGCGACGCUGGAACGAUAAUAAUGGAUGCAGUGUGCGCCUUUGUGCCUACACUUUUGUAGUUUUGAUACUGGAGAGAACCUACGUCUGCUUUCAUCUAUGUCUCUGAUGCUGGGAAUUUUUCCAUCGUCCUAAAUUUACAGGGUUUCGUUCAAGGCGGUCAAGUAAGAUGUCGUAAGAUAACAGAAGUAGACGGUAGACGAUUGUUAUUUUGCUGUAGUCUCAUUGAAGGCGAACGAUCUAGCUACGCUUGUCUUUUCCGGUUUUCGCAGACUGAGUUUGGUGUUUCUUUCUCUAUACUUACGCAUUCACUCUAAGCCGGCCAUUUGGAUAGGUGCUAUCCCCAAGUAACCAACCGUACCUCUUAAUAUUGAACUAUAAUAAAAAGUCAUUGGUAGAACUUGGUCACCGAGCAACUGCAUUAAAUAAUUCAAGGUCUGCAUCACAAACAACUUGGAUAAAGAAAUAUCUCUUCCUGUUUCUGAAUUCCUCACCAAUAUUUAAGCCAAAAAUAGAGAAAAAGGGUCUUAUAUCGGGUGGCGCAAUAGAAACUGCAUUUAUUAAGAAUAGGCUAAAAAAUAAACACAAAAGAUAUCCGCACAAAAAAAUGUCAACCCCAACCCAAGGGAUAUCACCUCUUGGAAAUUAGUCUUGCAGGAAACAUCUGUCUCGCAACCGCCAUAGAGUCAUUUGAUGUGUGACAGGUCGCUCCGUCUUGUUGGAACCAAGUCAUCGUAUUCGCUAUUCUCGAUCUCGCAAGUUCUGGAGUCAAAUAUCCCUCUAACAUCGUGACAUAACGGUCGGUGUUAACCGUGAUGUUUCGUCCUCGUGAAUCUUCAAAGAAGAAAGGGCCAAUAAUUCCUUUGCUUGAGAGCUGCCCAUACCGUUACUUUCGGACUAUGCAGUGGUUUUUGAUUUUGAUUUUUGGAUUCUCGUCGUUCCAAUAGCGACAAUUUUGUCGGUGUACGAACCCAUUUAAAUGAAAAUGAGCCUCGUCAGAAAGAAGGAUGUUGUCAAAAGUGGAAAAUCUUUUAAGCAUUUCUUCAGCAAAUGCCAACUUUGCUUCGAAGUGGGCCUCUUUUAAUUCCUGUAUUAACUGGAGCUUAUAAGGAUGCAGUUUCAGAUCCAACUUCAAAAUUAGCUGUAAACUUCGUCGCGACAAGUUUAAAGCCGCCAAUCGCUUCCGAUUAGACACUUGCGGAUAUUUUCCUACUGACACCUUCACCUUCUCAAUGUUGUUUGUGGACGUUCUUGGACGACCUUUUGCUGGUGGUUUGAACGUGGAACUUCAAAACGCUUUAAGAUCCAUAUUUUAAUUAAAUUCGCACUCGGAGCUUCAUUAAUGUGUGUUAAUCCAUAUUCAGAACAUACAUUCGCCUUGUAGAGAUCUAUGAACGACCGUUCUCGUAAAACGUGUGAACACAAAGUCAAAAAGGGCGACGCUUUUAAGUGACUCAUGGUUACUAAAACUCCACGAGUGCCACUAUCCAAUAGUGUGACCAGAUUUUUUUUGGCGAAUCUACUACUGCUUGUGGAGGUUAAAAACUACUGAAUUCUAAUGAAUUUACUGAAAUUAAAUGAAUGUUUUCUUGAUUCAAGGAUAAAAUAAUAAAAAUAACAAAGAAUGCACGAUUAAUUAAUGAAACCAAGUUUUUUAAAUUAUAUUUUUAAUAAAAAUAUUAUUUACAAAAAAAAAAAUAAUAUACUAAAAUAAUAAUAAUACUUAAAGUUAAGAUUCUUCGUCUUUAUGUUGGGUAACAUUGACACAAAGCAGUUUUGAGUACAUUAACUUGAUCAUCUUCUGUCAGGAUCAAAUCUGCUACAUCCUCCUUCCAACUGCCGUAGUCCCUCUUUUCCAUGCAUUAUUGAAGCAACAUUCUUAUUAUUAAAUCGAUUUCUAUCGUGAUUUUUAAUCAUAUUAAUAACGGAAAAUAUUCUUUCUACUUUAGCGUUUGACAAAGGUAGUGUCGUCAUUUGCUUCACAAAUCGGGACAAAAUGCCAUACUUUGGUUUGCUAUUCGCAUCACAGAUUUGGCUGAAAAAAUAUGACGCAAUGUGCACGUUCUAUUGCGCCACCCUGUAUAUUAUAUGGAAAAAUAUAAUAAUGAUUGUCAGGUGUAAAAUACUUGUACAAAGUAUUAGUAAGUUGUCAACUAAUAGCAGGAUUUUCUUGUUCUUUUUCGUAAGCUCACGAAUCACGUAAAAAUGUCAGCAGUCAUCCAGGCUCCUCGGUUGCUCUCAUAAUUCCACUGGCAAAUGUCGUACAUUUUAAAAACAUUUGGGACGUUGAGAUUUUCCGAUUACGAGAAGUUUUUUAUACAGUGCCACUCAUGUUGGCUGCCACCAUCACAGUUAUUCUCUCCUUUGAUAAUUUUCCUCCUGUACAUUUUUCACCUUUAAAUUUAAGUCUUGUUUGAGGUUAAUUUAUAAAACAGCCCGGUCUCAUCCGCAUUAAAAAUUUCAUCAUCUCUAAAUUGCCCACUUAGAGAAGGCCAAACCUUUUCUAACCAAUCGACUGCAUCACCUCAGACUUAGCUUUCUCUUGUAGCAGAGGUCCAUUCACGGGUAUUCCCAGGUCGAAGCUUGAACCUUGAACCACUGUAACAAUCCUUAUCAUGAGUGGAAGCUCGAAAAAAGGGCUUCAUCAGAGAACAGGAUGUUGUUGAACGCAUCCCGUAUUUCAUUUGCAAAUCUCAAUCUUGAUUCGAAGUCUGUUGCCUUUAGUUCCUGCACUAGAUGUAAUGUCGAUCUAGAGACUCCCAACGUCGACGAACGUUUGCGCUCCGACAUUCGUGGAUUCGCGCGUACAGACUCCCGAACUCGCUGAAUGUUUUCAUCGGUCCGUGAAACUCUUUGGCGACCACGAGGCCGCAUUUUUGUGUCGAUCCUGUUCUUUCAAAUCUUUGGAUACAUUGUUUAAUUAAAUUAGUGCUUGUACACUUACUGAUGCGCCGCAAUUCUAAUUUAGCACGAUAAAGCCGCCGAACAGUCACAUAAGAUUGAGCGAUUAUGAGAAUUCAUAAAAUGCACGGACACUAAACGCGCGCUGCUCUCCCGUGUAAUGAUUCAUGGCGACUAAAAUUACAAAGUCCGCGCUACGCAUUGCUACCGCUCCAGCGCCCCUCAUGUGGUUUAGAAAUGCGCGCGAAAUCAAAAGUGCAUUUCUCUCUGGGCCACCCUUUGGGCAACUACAACUAUGAAAAAAAUACUACAAAAUAGGUUGAAGUAAAUAUACAGGGUGUCCCAAAAGUCGACGUCAAGUCGAAAUUUUCUCAUAGGUAAUGCCACACCUUUACUUACAUUAAGUAUUUACUUACGAUAUUUGAAAAGUCUCUGAAAUCGAUGUAUAACAUAGUUAGUCAUACUUAAGAUAUUUUACUAUGGGCAUUAUACGUUUUUAAAUUUAUA